rnacentral:rRNA from 1 species
CAGCCGCCGCGGUAACACGUAGGGUGCAAGCGUUAAUCGGAAUUACUGGGCGUAAAGCGUGCGCAGGCGGUUUGUUAAGACAGAUGUGAAAUCCCCGGGCUCAACCUGGGAACUGCAUUUGUGACUGGCAAGCUAGAGUGUGGCAGAGGGGGGUGGAAUUCCGCGUGUAGCAGUGAAAUGCGUAGAUAUGCGGAGGAACACCGAUGGCGAAGGCAGCCCCCUGGGCCAACACUGACGCUCAUGCACGAAAGCGUGGGGAGCAAACAGGAUUAGAUACCCCGGUAGUCCCUGUCUCUUAUAC